rnacentral:rRNA from 1 species
UCCUACGGGAGGCAGCAGUAGGGAAUCUUCCGCAAUGGACGAAAGUCUGACGGAGCAACGCCGCGUGAGUGAUGAAGGCUUUCGGGUCGUAAAACUCUGUUGUUAGGGAAGAACAAGUGCUAGUUGAAUAAGCUGGCACCUUGACGGUACCUAACCAGAAAGCCACGGCUAACUACGUGCCAGCAGCCGCGGUAAUACGUAGGUGGCAAGCGUUAUCCGGAAUUAUUGGGCGUAAAGCGCGCGCAGGUGGUUUCUUAAGUCUGAUGUGAAAGCCCACGGCUCAACCGUGGAGGGUCAUUGGAAACUGGGAGACUUGAGUGCAGAAGAGGAAAGUGGAAUUCCAUGUGUAGCGGUGAAAUGCGUAGAGAUAUGGAGGAACACCAGUGGCGAAGGCGACUUUCUGGUCUGUAACUGACACUGAGGCGCGAAAGCGUGGGGAGCAAACAGGAUUAGAUACCCUGGUAGUCCACGCCGUAAACGAUGAGUGCUAAGUGUUAGAGGGUUUCCGCCCUUUAGUGCUGAAGUUAACGCAUUAAGCACUCCGCCUGGGGAGUACGGCCGCAAGGCUGAAACUCAAAGGAAUU